CCGGAACAGAGUGCGACAUAAGACCUUCUCUAAUAUUGUUGGCAUGUUCCAACAGUUCGACCUUUAGCAGUCGCUUAGUUCGUCCUACAUAUUGAUUGCUGAACGGACACUGCAGUAGAUCUACAACACAGUCCGUGCGGCAUUCAAUUGGGGCUUUGAUGGAAAAUACCUCUCCCGUUAUGUUAUUUUUAAAUGUGUUGGUCUUUUGUAUAUUCAUAGUAUUGCAGGCUUUUUAAAACCUAGGUUUUCGG